AUUGAACGCUGGCGGCAUGCCUUACACAUGCAAGUCGAACGGCAGCAUGAUCUAGCUUGCUAGAUUGAUGGCGAGUGGCGAACGGGUGAGUAAUACAUCGGAACGUGCCCUGUAGUGGGGGAUAACUAGUCGAAAGAUUAGCUAAUACCGCAUACGACCUGAGGGUGAAAGUGGGAGACCGCAAGGCCUCAUGCUAUAGGAGCGGCCGAUGUCUGAUUAGCUAGUUGGUGAGGUAAAGGCUCACCAAGGCGACGAUCAGUAGCUGGUCUGAGAGGACGAUCAGCCACACUGGGACUGAGACACGGCCCAGACUCCUACGGGAGGCAGCAGUGGGGAAUUUUGGACAAUGGGCGAAAGCCUGAUCCAGCAAUGCCGCGUGUGUGAAGAAGGCCUUCGGGUUGUAAAGCACUUUUGUCCGGAAAGAAAUGGCUCUGGUUAAUACCUGGGGUCGAUGACGGUACCGGAAGAAUAAGGACCGGCUAACUACGUG
rnacentral:rRNA from 1 species